GUCACUGUUACACUGUUCACUUGUGAGCUGUGUUCAAUAAACGGAGAGCGGGCAGUUGCACGUGCGACUGAGGCCAGCUCGCGCUGUGAUAAAAACCCGCUUUCCACCUCUUCGUCAUCUUCGACCCAUAGUAGCUGAAUUUCCACCGGCACCCUGCAGUUUACUGGACGGGCGGACGUUGUUAACCCGAGCCACGACCAAUCUGCUCACAGACACGAGAAGAAAGGACAGCAGCACCGCUUGGAAGAAGCUCAUGACGGACAACGGAUCCAGCAGUCACUGGAGCUCCUCUCCUGUCUCCUGUCUUUAUCCACUCGGGUUCCCUCACCUCACUUCCCGCCC